GAUUAACUCUACGUUGUCUUUGCCUGUUGAAAUAUUUUGUCAAGUCCCAUUUCAAGGAGUCUUUUUAAAUCUUCUUAACGUUAUGACUUUGAAGGCAUACUUUCCUGUUGCAUAAGCUGAAAAUGCUUCUGAUAAUUGCAAAGAAAGGUUUAAGAACCUCACUCUCAGAUAUAUCUUCAGAUGAGUAUCAGUUGGAAACUUAACUUGCAGUUUUCCAUGAGUUACAUGUCACCGGCUGUUAGUGAUUUGGAAGGAUUUAGGAUCCAGUUAAAGCAAACAGCUUUGAUACUGCUUUGAAGAAUUUCUCAAUGACUGUUUGCAACUUGCCGUGCUUCUGACAUUAUUCCUGGAUAGGAAAUGAAAUGCUGGAGAUGACUUUUUUUUUUUUGUAAUUUUUAAGAAAGCUGUUGUAUAAACAUUUUUAAGUACUCAAGAAGUCUGUAAAUAGAUAUUUUUUUGGUGAAUAUUGCAGAAAUAGUGAAUCUUAUGUUUUAGAUGAAAAUGAUUUUUCAGGACUUCCUGCCAGGUUGGACCAGAGAAGCCUCAUUUCUACACCAAAUUCAGUUCAGAUUCCAUGUCGUUAAUAAGUAACACAAGAUGAGGCGGUACAGCGCCACAAAACUAACUGGAGCACAGCUUAGCGCCGACUGCCUGCCCCGUUCGAAGCCGCGUGUUUGCCUCAGUACGUUACAGAUGCGCUUCAGCACUACAAAGCCUGCUGCGAGGGUCAGUGACAGAUGUCUUCACCGAGGCAAGGAAACGGGGCUGCUAGUCAAAAGACAGCGAAAGUGAAGUGGCACAGGUUGGAAGGAAAAAAAAAAAAUGGUAAGGUUGUGUUGUAGGACUGUCAAAAAACUCAUUUCCCUACUGGGAGGGAUGCAUGAGUGGAUUUCACAGCAAGUACCCACAACUUCAUUGCUACUUAACCUAUUAGCGAGGUCAUUUUCUGUUCCUACAAUAGAUAAAAAGACAUUGAUUUAUAUCAACAGCUGAAUCGGAAUCUGAAGUACGCUCUAAAGUUUGCAGAUAGCAACAGUGAGCUGAAAAACUACUUCAAGCAUUUUGUGAUGACUGGUUUAAGAACUAGACCAAUACAGGCACAUUUUUUAUAUGGAAACCAUUUUCUCCACUGUUACUUACCUGAAAUCUGGUCGCUGCAAGGAGUUUGCUUCUGCAAUACAUUCGCACAUUUUGUACUGUUGGAAUUGUAGAUGCUUGAUAAAGUCUUUACCUUUAUUAUCACAUUCCUCUUACAUUUAUUAUGAAUUUAUUAUGAAUAAAGGUAACCAUUAUCACGUCA